UUCAGAGGUCUCAAGCGUUGUUCGGAAUCACUGGGCGUAAAGGGUGCGUAGGCGGCGCAAAAAGUCAGAUGUGAAAUCCGGAGGCUCAACCUCCGAAUUGCAUCCGAAACUCUUGUGCUAGAGAUUUGUAGAGGAGCUUGGAACUCUCGGUGUAGCAGUGAAAUGCGUAGAUAUCGAGAAGAACGCUCGCAGCGAAAGCGAGGCUCUGGGCAAUUUCUGACGCUGAUGCACGAAGGCUAGGGGAGCAAACGGG
rnacentral:rRNA from 1 species